UUUCCGUAGGUGAACCUGCGGAAGGAUCAUUCAUAAUAAGUGUUUUAUGGCACUUUUUUAAAUCCAUAUCCACCUUGUGUGCAAUGUCAGGGUUGAUUUUUCUCUCGAGAGGAUCAGCCCCAAACAUCAACUAUAUCUCAACUCUUUGUCUGAAAAAUAUAUGAAUAAAACAAUUCAAAAUACAACUUUCAACAACGGAUCUCUUGGCUCUC
rnacentral:misc_RNA from 1 species